rnacentral:lncRNA from 1 species
CUCAGGGCCAUUUAAACAAAAACAGGCACCUCUGUGGCAAUGCCAUUCGAAUGUGCUUGGUACUUCUGGGACGGGACCCAGGAAGGGGGGUCGAGAUUAAGCUGCUUAUCACAAGGAACAUAUGAAAAUUAGUGGAGACAGACCAGUCAGUCCUCUAUGCGGCCUAAGACGCUGCUGAGCUGGACAGGGAGUCCUCCGCACUUCUUGGUGCUCAGUUCUGAGGUACUUGAGGUCUUUGCAGCACAUAAAUCAGAGGAACUGUCGCAAGGGUGGAAGGGGGCAGAACCAACCAACUGUAGUAGGACUCAUUCCCAGGGGAUCCCAGUGACAGGCAAGGCAGAGCUUCUUAGCCUGGCCAGAGCACAUGAAAACCCUGGGAACCAAGAUGCCAGGGCUACGCAUGUGGGACCAGGACUGAAUGCUGAGCCCACACUCCUGGGAGCACCUAACCUCUUUCCCCCAAAACUGGGGUCCUGAGUCCAAUCAGGACAACAUCUGCAGCAAACUUAGAGAACAGCGAGUCGGAGAGCCCCUCCAGAGAGCAAUGAAGCAAAACAGAUGCUGUCUUGUACUGAGACCUCCUGUGCUCCUGCGCUCCUCCACGGCCCCGGAGCCUGGGAAGCUUCAAGUCUGCGGUCAGUGGGGACUAGGAGGGGUGGGAGUGGGGGCUGGAGAGAGAGCUUGUUGGGCUUUGUGGUACUGUAGGGGAUCACAGAGCCCAGGGAACCUGAACAGGUAUUCGAGAGUCGCAGGCAGCUACGGACAGGCCACAGUAGCUUUCCCUUACGUUGCUCCAUCCUUACAUCUGUUGGUCAGUGUGUCUGAGCCUCUCGGUGGGCUAGAGCUGUCUUCCCAGGUCUGGUGGUUACAGAGUUGAUGCCUGGGCCCAGAGGUCUCUUACUGAGUCUGAGGGAAUGAUCAGCAGACAACUGUUGUUGAAGGGCUUGAGAUCUGAGAGAGAGAGAGAGAGAGAGAGAGAGAGUAAAAAAGAAAAGAGUCGGGGUUGGGGAUUUAGCUCAGUGGUAGAGUGCUUGCCUAGCAAGCUCAAGGCCCUGGGUUCGGUCCCCAGCUCCAAAAAAAAAAAAAAAAAAAAAAAAAGAAAAGAAAAGAAAAGAAAAGAGAACAUCUCAGGUUUUAAUAAGAUCCAAAUGGAGGAAGUUUGGGAGCAGGAACAGGGCCUUAGAGUGUAGAGCUAGUGUUCUGUAAGUUCAGAGCCUAGAUUUUAAGUCUCUCCCUGCUGAGCAGGGUUUUGGAUACCGUAACCAAGAUAGAGACCCUUAUGGGUAGAGCCCCUAGAAGGAGGAAGACAGAAAACAGGUGUCUCCAGGGUGAAAGGGAGUCUGAGGAUUUAGGAUUGGGGUGGGGACGGGAGAGAUGGAGUACUGGGUGCCAUUUGGGGUAGUAGGCCCGAAAGAAGCACUGUGUGAAUGAAGAACCGAGCAGGUGAGGGUAGGGGGUGCCUGCAGUUCUCUGCUGUCCUGGAGCCCAGCUGUGCACCUAUGGGACGAUUCUCCAAGUCUGGAGGGACUGAGAGCAGUGAAUGCUUGAGGGGACAUGAGGCUGGUCAGGCCGGGCCCUAUGGUGUAACCCUCAAAGCCACUCUCACCUAGCUCUGCUUUGGUUCUCCCCACCAGAAUCCAGAUCCUGCAUCGUCCCUCAUCAUAGGGUGUUAUGAGUUGAGGUGCGUCCCCCAAAGGUAGGUUGAUGGGCUACCCAGGAAUCUUAUGUAGCUGUAUUUGCAGACGUAAUUGAUUAAAAUAAGGUCCUUACACACCAGAGUGUCCCUGCUCAGCUGGUGCCCGAGGAGAAGAGAAGGCUUUGUGGAGAGGGGUAGGGAGGAGUAAUCUAAAGGUACAAACAGAAGGAAGAAGCACACUGGAGACUGCAGGGUGCACUCUGUGGAGGGGUUGAGGCCCUGCCACACCUCCGCUGAGGCUCUUGGUCCAGCAAUAAUCCCAGCACUCGAGAUAGAGGCAAGGAUCAAGAAUCGGCUCUUUAUUCUCUAUUCUGUUAGAAAAAGGAAGGCCAGCCUCAGAAAUAAAGAACUGCAGGGGAGGAGCCCGUCUCAGUGAAGGAAUAAAUGAAUCAUGUCCUAGCCUCCAGAAUGGAGAGAGCAUACAUUUCCAUGGUUUUAGGUUUCCUGGUAGUUUGCCGUGCUGGAAGCAGAUACAGCAUGGUGUACUUUCGUGCUGACAAAGGUAGUUCUUCAGGUCAUAGCCUUGUCCAAGGCUCAUAGGUACGGGCUCAAUGGA